rnacentral:rRNA from 1 species
GACGAACGCUGGCGGCGUGCUUAACACAUGCAAGUCGAACGGAAAGGCCCUGCUUUUGUGGGGGGCUCGAGUGGCGAACGGGUGAUUAACACGUGAGUAACCUGCCCUUGACUUUGGGAUAACUUCAGGAAACUGGGGCUAAUACCGGAUAGGAGCUCCUGCUGCAUGGUGGGGGUUGGAAAGUUUCGGCGGGUGGGGAUGGACUCGCGGCUUAUCAGCUUGUUGUUGGGGUAGUGGCUUACCAAGGCUUUGACUGGUAGCCGGCCUGAGAGGGUGACCGGCCACAUUGGGACUGGGAUACGGCCCAGACUCCUACGGGAGGCAGCAGUGGGGAAUAUUGCACAAUGGGCGGAAGCCUGAUGCAGCAACGCCGCGUGCGGGAUGACGGCCUUCGGGUUGUAAACCGCUUUCGCCUGUGACGAAGCGUGAGUGACGGUAAUGGGUAAAGAAGCACCGGCUAACUACGUG